CAUGCAAUCGAAAGGAAUGGUGGGCCAGCUCAAGUCUAUUAGGCAGUAGAUACAUAAUUAAUCAGAAGCUCAUACAUGCGUUUACUUGUGCUGGAAUGCUCCCAUCACAAUAUCACCAUUUCUGUAGAUUGGAAUCGCUUGGUAUAGUUGGGAAAAGGUACACUGAUUCAGUAUAUAAGUCAAAGCGGUAUGUACUGCUAUUGAAAGUUGUGCUGAAGCAUCAAUGAUGAAGGCAAUUGAUAAAAUCAAG